rnacentral:rRNA from 1 species
AAAUUGAAGAGUUUGAUCAUGGCUCAGAUUGAACGCUGGCGGCAGGCCUAACACAUGCAAGUCGAGCGGUAGCACAAGAGAGCUUGCUCUCUGGGUGACGAGCGGCGGACGGGUGAGUAAUGUCUGGGAAACUGCCUGAUGGAGGGGGAUAACUACUGGAAACGGUAGCUAAUACCGCAUAACGUCUACGGACCAAAGUGGGGGACCUUCGGGCCUCACGCCAUCAGAUGUGCCCAGAUGGGAUUAGCUAGUAGGUGGGGUAAUGGCUCACCUAGGCGACGAUCCCUAGCUGGUCUGAGAGGAUGACCAGCCACACUGGAACUGAGACACGGUCCAGACUCCUACGGGAGGCAGCAGUGGGGAAUAUUGCACAAUGGGCGCAAGCCUGAUGCAGCCAUGCCGCGUGUGUGAAGAAGGCCUUAGGGUUGUAAAGCACUUUCAGCGAGGAGGAAGGGCAAUGUGUUAAUAGCACAUUGCAUUGACGUUACUCGCAGAAGAAGCACCGGCUAACUCCGUGCCAGCAGCCGCGGUAAUACGGAGGGUGCAAGCGUUAAUCGGAAUUACUGGGCGUAAAGCGCACGCAGGCGGUUUGUUAAGUCAGAUGUGAAAUCCCCGCGCUUAACGUGGGAACUGCAUUUGAAACUGGCAAGCUAGAGUCUUGUAGAGGGGGUAGAAUUCCAGGUGUAGCGGUGAAAUGCGUAGAGAUCUGGAGGAAUACCGGUGGCGAAGGCGGCCCCCUGGACAAAGACUGACGCUCAGGUGCGAAAGCGUGGGGAGCAAACAGGAUUAGAUACCCUGGUAGUCCACGCUGUAAACGAUGUCGAUUUGGAGGUUGUGCCCUUGAGGCGUGGCUUCCGGAGCUAACGCGUUAAAUCGACCGCCUGGGGAGUACGGCCGCAAGGUUAAAACUCAAAUGAAUUGACGGGGGCCCGCACAAGCGGUGGAGCAUGUGGUUUAAUUCGAUGCAACGCGAAGAACCUUACCUACUCUUGACAUCCAGAGAAUUCGCUAGAGAUAGCUUAGUGCCUUCGGGAACUCUGAGACAGGUGCUGCAUGGCUGUCGUCAGCUCGUGUUGUGAAAUGUUGGGUUAAGUCCCGCAACGAGCGCAACCCUUAUCCUUUGUUGCCAGCGAUUCGGUCGGGAACUCAAAGGAGACUGCCGGUGAUAAACCGGAGGAAGGUGGGGAUGACGUCAAGUCAUCAUGGCCCUUACGAGUAGGGCUACACACGUGCUACAAUGGCGUAUACAAAGAGAAGCGAACUCGCGAGAGCAAGCGGACCUCAUAAAGUACGUCGUAGUCCGGAUUGGAGUCUGCAACUCGACUCCAUGAAGUCGGAAUCGCUAGUAAUCGUAGAUCAGAAUGCUACGGUGAAUACGUUCCCGGGCCUUGUACACACCGCCCGUCACACCAUGGGAGUGGGUUGCAAAAGAAGUAGGUAGCUUAACCUUCGGGAGGGCGCUUACCACUUUGUGAUUCAUGACUGGGGUGAAGUCGUAACAAGGUAACCGUAGGGGAACCUGCGGUUGGAUCACCUCCUUA